rnacentral:rRNA from 1 species
UCCUACGGGGGGCAGCAGUGAGGAAUAUUGGUCAAUGGGCGGAAGCCUGAACCAGCCAAGUCGCGUGAGGGAAGAAGGCCCUGCGGGUCGCAGACCUCUUUGGACGGGGAGCAAGGCCGCCGACGUGUCGGCGGAAGGAGAGUACCCGUAGAACAAGCACCGGCUAACUCCGUGCCAGCAGCCGCGGUAAUACGGAGGGUGCAAGCGUUACUCGGAAUCACUGGGCGUAAAGAGCGCGUAGGCGGGUGGUCAAGUCAGAUGUGAAAUCCUGUAGCUUAACUACAGAACUGCAUUUGAAACUGAUC